rnacentral:rRNA from 1 species
UGCAAGUCGAGCGGUAGAGAGAAGCUUGCUUCUCUUGAGAGCGGCGGACGGGUGAGUAAUGCCUAGGAAUCUGCCUAGUGGUGGGGGAUAACGUUCGGAAACGGACGCUAAUACCGCAUACGUCCUACGGGAGAAAGCGGGGGAUCUUCGGACCUCGCGCCAUUAGAUGAGCCUAGGUCGGAUUAGCUAGUUGGUGAGGUAAUGGCUCACCAAGGCGACGAUCCGUAACUGGUCUGAGAGGAUGAUCAGUCACACUGGAACUGAGACACGGUCCAGACUCCUACGGGAGGCAGCAGUGGGGAAUAUUGGACAAUGGGCGAAAGCCUGAUCCAGCCAUGCCGCGUGUGUGAAGAAGGUCUUCGGAUUGUAAAGCACUUUAAGUUGGGAGGAAGGGCAGUAACCUAAUACGUUAUUGUUUUGACGUUACCGACAGAAUAAGCACCGGCUAACUUCGUGCCAGCAGCCGCGGUAAUACGAAGGGUGCAAGCGUUAAUCGGAAUUACUGGGCGUAAAGCGCGCGUAGGUGGUUCAGUAAGUUGGAAGUGAAAUCCCCGGGCUCAACCUGGGAACUGCUUUCAAGACUGCUGAGCUAGAGUACGGUAGAGGGUGGUGGAAUUUCCUGUGUAGCGGUGAAAUGCGUAGAUAUAGGAAGGAACACCAGUGGCGAAGGCGACCACCUGGACUGAUACUGACACUGAGGUGCGA